AUGAUCGGCGACGACGACCACCCCGCCACCCCGCCGCCACCACCGUCCCCGAGCCUGGGGAGGCGGCUGCUCGGCUCCAUCCGGGCCCUCUCCUCCGCCAUCGCCUUGCCCACCACUCCCGCCGCCGCCGCCUCCUCCUCCUCCUCCCCCUCGCCCAGCCUNNNNNNNNNNNNNNNNNNNNNNNNNNNNNNNNNNNNNNNNNNNNNNNNNNNNNNNNNNNNNNNNNNNNNNNNNNNNNNNNNNNNNNNNNNNNNNNNNNNNNNNNCCCGCCUCCACCAGGACCAGGACCAGGACCAGGACCACCACCACCACCACCACCACCACGACCACGUUCCCAGGGCCAAGAGGGCUCUCCACCUUCCUCAACCCCCCACGCCAUCGCCAUCCCGACCUCCUUCCGCUGCCGCUGCCGUGGAGCACCACCAGGACCAGGACCAGGUCCAGGAGGAGCCCUGCGGUGGCCUGUUGGAUGAAGCCGCCCUCCACCUCCACCUCCACCUCCACCUCCACCAGGACCAGGACCAGGAGGGCCUCAACCUCCUGGAGCAACACAAGGACGAUGCUGCUGCUAAGGAUGAUCACGAGGAGGAGGUGGAGCAAGGGGAUGCAACCAUAGAUGAUGAUAAUGCUGUCAAACAUCAUCAUCAUGAGGUGGUGGAGCAAAGUGUAAUACAUGAUGCCGUUGCUCUUGCUGUUGCUCUUGAUGAUGAUCAGGACAAGAAGCCACUUAUUGAGCAAUGUACUAGUACCACCUCUUCCUCUUGUCAACAACUAACAACAGCCAUGGAGAAUGAUGAUGAUGCUCUUGUGCAAGUUCAAGAUGCCACCCACCCAAGGGAUCAAGACAUUGCUGCUGAGGGACAAGAGACACCGGAAGCUCAUCAGCUGGGAUCAACUGAGAAUGCUGAUGCUCUUGUGCAAGUUCAAGAGGAAGGUGCCACUGCUGUAGAUGACCAUGACAAGGCAGUGGACCAAUGCAUCACUUAUGAUGACUUGGGAACAACCAUGGAGGAUGAUGUUGCUAAGGAUGAUCAGGAGGUGGCGGAGCAAGGUGUCAUUGACCAAGGGUAUGCACCCAUGGAUGGUGAUAAUUCUGUCAAACAUCACGAGGUGCUGCUGCUAAGUGCCGCGCAAGGAACGCGCCCUACCACUCAUGACAUUGCUGCUGCCGAGGAUCAAGGAAAGAAUGUGGAGCAAUGCACCACUUAUGAUGACUUGGGAACAACCAUGGAGAAUGAUGUAGCUAAGGAUGACCAGCAGGUGGUGGAGCAAGGUGUCAUUGACCAAGGGGAUGCAGCCAUAGAUGAUGACAAUGAUGUCAAACAUCACGAGGUGCUGCUGCUAGUUGCCGUGGAAGGAACGCGCGCUACCACAGAUCACAUUGCUGCUGUCGAGGAUCAAGGAAAGAGUGUGGAGCAAUGUACCACUUAUUAUGACCUGGGAACAACCAUGAAGAGUGAUGAUGAUGUGGACGAUAAUGCUACUGUUGAAGAACAAGAGGUGCUGGAGGAGCAAGGUGUUGUCGAUUUAACCAUGGAUGAUGAUGAUUCUGUCCAAGAUCACAAGGUGUUGCAGCAAGGUAUCAUUGACGGAACCGAUGACAUUGCUGUUGAGAAGCAAGAGAAAGUGCUGGAGCAAUGUUCAAGAGCAACCAAGGAUGAGUACACUGUCAAAGAAAAGGAGAUGGUGGUGGAGCAAGGUGUCAUUGACCCAAGGUACAUGGAUCUUGCCACGGAAGAUCAGGUUAAGUUGUCGAUCGUAGACGACCAGGGUACAGUGCCCAUGGAUGAUAUUGUGGUGAAAGACCAUGAUAAGGCGGUGGCGCAAUAUGCCAGCGAUGCAAUAGUAACAAUCAAGGAUGAGAGUCCUGUGGAGGAACAUGAUACGGUGGGGAAUCAAGGUGUCAUCGACAAAAAUGGCAGAACCAAGGAUGAUAUUGAUGUGGAGGGACAUGGCUAUCUGAAGGAACAGGUCAUCGUCGAUAACUGGGGUACAUCCAGUGAUGCUACUGCUUUGGAAGGUCAGAAGAAUGAGGCUGAGCCACGCAUCGGUGAUGCACAGAUAGCAGGCAAGGACAUGGAUGGUGUUCAUGCUGAGGGGAACAUGAUGGGGCAAAGGACCGGCGAUAAACAGGGAGCAACACAGUCUGAUUUCACUGUUGAUAAGCACAAGGAUGUAGUGGAGCGUGUCCGCCAUGAGUGGGGUGCACCUGAGGAUGAUCGUGCUAUAGACACGGCAGCUUAUCAAGGUACCGGCGAUUGGGGUAUAGUUAGCGAGGAGAAGGUUAAGCUGCCUGAGGAUGAUCGUGCUAUGGACACGGCAGCUUAUCAAGGUACCGGAGAUUGGGGUACAGCUAGCAAGGAGAAGUAUAAGCUGCCUGCUAGAAGAUAUCCACAAAAGCCCAGAAAACUUAACUGCCCCUCUUACAUGUCAAAAGGGACCUGCACAUACGGGCCCUCAUGCCACUUCAAUCACCCACCGCAGCUUAAAUCUAGGUCAGAUGAAUCAUGGCGUCCCUCUGAAAGAAGAAACCAUGGCGCUGCAGAAAUUCUGGAACUGAACCGCCUUGGCCUUCCCAUUCGAGAAGGAGCAAGAAACUGUGACUACUAUAUGCGAACUGGUGCUUGCAGAUAUGGCAAAAACUGCCAUUUUAACCAUCCAGACCAUGUCAUUGAUGCUCAGUUCAAUCCACCAACAGGGUGGGAGGAUAAUGCUUUGCAGCAAAUGGAGAAAUCUUCUGACCGUACAUUAGAUGAGACAUCACACAUGAAGAAAUCUUCCGAUGAUGCGACCUUAGAUAACAGAUCACACAUGAAGAAAUCUUCCGAUGAUGCGACCUUCAAUGACAGAUCACACUUGAAGAAACCUUCUGAUGGUGCGACCUUAGAUGACAGAUCACACUUGAAGAAACCUUCUGAUGGUGCGAUCGUAGAUGACACAUCAUACUCAAAGAAGUCUUCUGACCAUGACAACUCAUGUAGCUCUGGUGUCCUGCCACCAAGCAUAUUUAGAAUGCUUCUACCUCCCCAAAAAGUACUGCCUGGUACGGAAGGAAAGGCGAAAAAGAAGUCAGGCUGGUCAUCAGACGAUUCCGAUGGUUGCUGUUCAGCAGAUAGUUCAGAUGGACCUUUGUGCAAGCAGGGGGGGCACGUGGAUUACCCUGAGAGGCCUGGCAGACCAGAAUAUCACCACCCAAAACAGUCAAAAGACAAAGAAGAGGUAAACUAUCCUGAGAGGCCUGGCAAACCAGAUUGCCCCUUCUACAUGAGAUUUGGUGAUUGUAAAUUUGCAUCAGCAUGCAACUAUCACCACCCAAAAGACAAAUACCCAGCUGGGAGACCUGAUGAACCAGAAUGCCCAUUCCUUAUGAAGCGUGGGUACUGUAAACUUAGGGCACAAUGUAAGUUUUAUCACCCAGAGGCUUCAAAUCCUACCAUGCAGAGCCCAACAGAUGCAAAAAGAUCUGUUACCACUGAUGAACAUCAUCCAUCUACAAGAAUCACAUUACAAGACUAUAUGCUUCCCCAGCAACCGCAGUAUCCCGAGAGACCUGGUCAGCCAGAGUGCCGGUACUACUUGCAGUUUGGGAAAUGCAAAUAUCUGUCUGCUUGUAUAUUUCACCAUCCAAAAGAUAGACUUGCAGCUCACUCUGAUCAGAUUGGACCUGGCAUGCCAGAUUGUCCUUUCUAUAUGAAAACUGGGAAAUGUCAAUUUGGAUCAGCAUGUGAAUUUCGUCAUCCCAAAGAUAUACAUUCAAGUUCAACUACAGAGGAAGCAUUUGGUGAGAGAACUGGCUCGGGGGCGUACGAUAGUUUGACAAGGUCAGAUAAUGGUGUGGAGCAACAAGAAGAGAGCAUCAUGUAUCCUGAGAGGCCCGGUGAACCUGAGUGUAACCACUACAUGAGGCAGGGCUACUGUAAGUUCCAGAUGAACUGCAAGUACCAUCAUCCAGGAGACCGGCUGUCUAAGAAACAUGAAGUCAUCCGCACCGACCACUUGAGCAAAGCAGGGACACGCUGGUUACCGCACGAAUGCUACCAACGGAAAGCAUUGUCUUGA
rnacentral:rRNA from 1 species